UCGGACACGCCCUGAAGGACAACCUCCUCCACCGAACCCUACCCCAGCGGGAGGAAUAAUGAAUUCCAGCGCUCCCCCUCAGGACAGAUUAACACCUGGCCAGACAUUAUUCUGACAGGAGCCUGUGUCAACAAAAAGGAUUCUGCCACAGCUUUCACACCAUGAUCCCCAAAACAAGAUCAGGAGGUGACCUUUCUCCCUUGCCUACAGAAGAUUACAACACUAAAAACAGCCCAGCCUGUUCAGCAAAAACUGCACUUGGAACACACCAUAUCCUCUGGCAGAGCAUCUGAACGCUUGUUAAGAGAGACUGAAGAGGGGGAGGGAGAAGUGCACAUCAGCUGAGCAUUUCAGGAAGCAGAAAUCAUGCCUGUUGUCUGCAUCUGACCUCUUCUCUGCUCCUGAGAGACACAGGGCCUAGCAGGAAAAAAGCCAAGGACCACUGCCAAGAACAGACUCAAAUAGCACCACUCCAAGCUAUGCUGUGUCCACAGACCAUGAGGGAAGCAGGCCAAAGGUCUCAAGGGAUGCCAAGCUGUCCUGUAGAAAGAUUGAAGGAUGAGAACAGUCUCCACAAGUGUUGGCUUCAGGGCUCCUUGCCCCUCUAAAGUGUCCGCUCCUGGAUAAUGUCCCCCCUUGUCAUGAUCAAGCUAUCCUAGAAACAGACACAUGAACAAUGGCCUACUAUGCACUGAAGUAUGAAACACAAUGCUCAAUUUUUGAACCAAUUAUACCUUCAUAGAAGUGAUUUUUUAUACUUACUAUUCCUUGAGGUUGUAUGAGUUUAUUUUUCCUUGUAUCUUUCCAAAAAGCUCUCAGAAAGGUCAAACUAUUUAAGACUGGGUUAAAGGGAAAAAAGAAAAAUCCUUUUUUGAAAAGAAGAGCUGCACAUAUUUACAACAUGGGCUCUGUCUAAACCCACAAUAGAUUAAGGAACAUUCUAUUUAUUCAUUUUUCUACUAUAGAAACAUAUCCAAUUGGAAUAAGCUAGCCAAAUAAAUUGACUCUCUCUGACAUUAAGGGCCACAGAAAACAUAUCAGAAGCUGUCUAUAUUUUCAUUGCUAUAAAAGAAAAAAUGACAGAUGCCCAUACAGAAGGAACAGGUAUAUAUUCAAAGAAAAUCACCUGAAUAUACUGAGAUUACAACUAAGAACAGGAUCAGUGUGGAAGAGAUUUUUCUAAAAGAUUCCUUAGAUACACUAAGAUUUAUUUUGAAAUACAAAAUUUCUAAGCUACGACCCAAUCUUACCUUUUGUUUAUAUCUAAAAUGUCUGUUUAAAAAACAUUCAAUGCCAAGAGACGAAGGCGGCAUGUUUCCUUUUGAUUUCAUAACUUGAUGGGAGGGUACAUAUUUCACAUAAGCCAUGUUCCAGAUUUCUGAUUACAUGUUCCAGCAAAUCACACCAACAGGAUCAAAUUCUUUCCAGUCAUAUUAGAGCACUUUUUAGAAACACUGGGAAGCAAGCACAAAAUUUAAAAGAUUCUACAAAAACAAUGCAGCAUCUGACAUACAAAAAGAGAUACUAAUAGUACUUACUGAGGACUCAGCACAUGCACAGAGAGCCCUAACCAUGUUUCUUGAUGAAUGCAGAAAGAACUACACACACACAAAACAAUCUCUUUCUGAAAUGACGAGGCACUCUGAUUAAGGAGACUAAUGAUACAUGUAAGAAAUGACUUUUGGCCUCCUAUUACAAAACAACAAAUCCCAAAAGUGCAAAUCAAUACACCACACACAGAAAUUGAUGAGUAUCUAGAAGGCAAUAACAGAGGGAUUAGAGGUAGAUGAGCAAGACUUGUUGUGAAAAAGGAACUUUGAAAAAAACACAAAAGCUGAUUUGGUCAAGGAAAGUAAUAAGACAUUCCAGAUAGAUGGAAAACACACAGGCAAAAGAUAAGAAAACUGCAGUUGUGCUCUUUCCAUCAAUGUAAAUUUCAUGGAUUAACUAUGCUCAUGUUCACCUCACCUCUGUAUCAAAUGUCUUUGAAAAAUGACUAAUUUUUAAGUUUGGCAUUUAUAAAAACUUAUUAUUAAACUUUUUAAACAUUAUAAAAACUUAUAUAUUAAAAAAUAUGUGCAUUACAUAUUUCUAUAUAACUCUACUCAUAUACCUACU